AUGAUUAUUUUCUUUGUGGUAUUCAGUAUUGAUCUUUAUGAAUUUUAUGUAAUUCCUUUCUGUUCUUAAUAUAAUGAGGGGGAGUUCAUAUUAAGGGGGAAAUUUUUUCUUUUUGCUUAUGAUCAAAAAGGGGGAGAAGAAAUAUUAAGGGAGAAUUAAGGGGAGAAAUAUUUUUCAAUUGUACAGGUACUGCUAACUCUGUGGUUGUCCAUUAGCUUAUAUGUGUUGCAGGUAAAGCUGAGUUGCUUUUAAAAAGAGAGUUUUUGAUCAUCAUCAAAAAGGGGGAGAUUGUUACCAAUAAGGAGUAUUGGUAAAACCUGAAGAUGAGUUUUGAUGAUGCUGCAACUUGUAGAUUUUGAAUGUAGUAGGAAAAUAUUUAAAAAGCAACUUGUAGAUUUUGAAUGUAGUAGGAA
rnacentral:lncRNA from 1 species